CCUGAAAGGAAAGUCAAUGAGCCCCACAGAGAAAAGGACACAGAAUCCUUUAUAUCUGUUUUCCAAGAAUUUCACCCUGAAGUGACUUCUAAGUGUCAAGAUAGGGGAGACUGCACAAGAUUUAAAAUAAAAGCUUUUCCACCAAAAGAAAUAUGCAACCAAUUAUGAGGUUUGGUGCAAGAAGGCCCUUCAUCAGAAGCAGUGGCAGAUUUGGAUUUCUGCUGGGAUUUGCUGGUCAGUGAUGUCUCCCCAGGCUUUAGAAAAACAAAAACAAUUCAAACAAAAUCAUCUCUUAUACGUUCUUCAACCUGAGAACAGUGUGGCAAGUAGGACUCUUCGUUAAGUCAAAAGAGGUACCUGUUGUUCUGGCUUCUUGACCUCUCUUUUAUGUAGUGAAUGAAGUCUUCUGGGAUAAACCACUUCAUAGUUCUUCACUCCAGAGAGUUCUUUUAUCGCGUUUACUGAGGAGGGAAAAAAAGAACUCACACGUUGGAUUACUUCUGGCCGGCAACACUAGAUCGAGAAAAAACAAAACUAUUAUUUUGGAUUGCCUGAGAUAAUGAUUUUACUGUAUAUUGGUUUUAGAAAAGCGAAUACUCAUUGGCAAGAUUAAUAUCACAGGCACUGGUCUGGAUUGCCACGUUCUGUUUUAAUGUGUUUGGGGGAAAUUUUGGAGUUUAGCACAUUUGUGUAUAAUAUUUGGCAUUUUCAUUUUUGAUCACAUCUGUUCCAAAUCGUUUAAAGAAUGUCUUUCCAAACUAAACACAUGACAUUAAGCCCCGGAUCAGAGUUUAUUCAAUAUUGACUUCAGAUCUGGGCUGCGCUGCACCCCCUCAAACUCUGGCGAUUGGAAGCUUAGUGUAGUAAAAGUGACGACAAACAUCGAGGAAAAAUGCAUCCUCAUUAAAUCUAUCAUUUUGGCUAUGAAGAUUAAAUUAUAAAUGCUCUUGAGGCUCAUCCAGUCAUUUUAUGAAGAUAAGAAAGAAUUGUUAAUUUGAAACAAAAUAAUUUUAAAAAGUACUGUACCCUCUGGAUAUCCUGUUGAAAUAUAUUAAAGAACUUUCUCUUUUGUCAGUGCACGUACAUCUCACCCCCAAACAACUGUUGCAUCCUUUUAAAUAUUUGGGUUUUUUCCUAUGAUGAAAUCCUAGAAGUUAUUUUUCUCAGGGGAUGGUGAAGUGCGUACAAACAGCUGGCCUA